GACAGGAAGAAUCUUCAGUUUUGAGGUCUCAGAUCCUUUGCAACAAGAUAAUGAUUUCAGGCUGAAAGCAGCAUUCAACUGAUCUUUUAAUAGAAUUCUUGGUCAGAAAAGAUCUAUUCAGAGAGGUGGAGAUCAGAGACACCCAAUAACAGCAUUGACCCUGUAUUACAUUAGACCUCAGCAGAGCUCCUGGCUGCCUUGGAUUAAACGAGGAUGGUCCCAUAGACAGGGCAGUGCCCUCCUGCUAGCAGUUUCGGGGAAAUGACGCUCGGCAGAUCCAUGGACAGAUGGGACUCCAUGAUGUAAAUGCGUGGCAGUAACGGGUCUGUCGUCUGAGCUGGUGGAGGGCCUGGAAGAGUAGAAGCUGUAACUGGGCUCUGUUUGAUAUGAACAGCUCCUUUUUCACUUAAAGCCUGCCAAAUUUCAUGCCUUAUUGAUUCAAUAAACGAAGAAGAAUGACAGUGAACUGCUCGUAGAGACGAAGGCUGCCGGGAAUGCCAGCGUGUGUAACAUAGGAUGCGACCUGUCCUACAGGUUUCCACAAGUCUAGCAGAGGAGGCAGCCAUCGAGGUACAAAGCACCUGCUGCUCCAUCGCGGUCUGCCAUGGCCCGACAUGGACUGAGCGCUGCUUGCUGCAGUCACAGUGCACGUGAGAAUGCCAUUAGCAUCUAACCUUAAUUACAGGCCACUUACUUAGGGUUUUAUUGAGUCAAAAAUUGAUGAGAUUUCUGGGAGUCUGGUCUUGGAAUGCCUGGGGAAUAAACUUGAAAAACAGAGGAAAACAACAUGCUUUCCAAGAUUGCAGGGAAGCCGUGAGCCUCUGCCGCUGCCUCCUUCUCUACACUGAGCAGUAA